rnacentral:rRNA from 1 species
UACAGAGGUCCCAAGCGUUGUUCGGAUUCAUUGGGCGUAAAGGGUGCGUAGGCGGUGAGGUAAGUCUGGUGUGAAAUCCCCGGGGCUCAACCCCGGAACUGCACUGGAUACUGCUUUACUAGAGUACUGGAGAGGGAACUGGAAUUUACGGUGUAGCAGUGAAAUGCGCAGAUAUCAGGAGGAACACCGAUGGCGAAGGCAGGUCUCUGGGCCACUACUGACGCUGAGAAGCGAAAGCAUGGGAGCGAACAGG